GACGAACGCUGGCGGCGUGCCUAAUACAUGCAAGUAGAACGGAGUUGCGAACGGGUGAGUAACGCGUAGGUAACUGCCUCAUGGCGGGGGAUAACUAUUGGAAACGAUAGCUAAUACCGCAUACUGUGAGCUGGACCUGCGUUGUAUUAGCUAGUUGGUGAGGUAAAGGCUCACCAAGGCGACGAUACAUAGCCGGCCUGAGAGGGUGGUCGGCUAACCUGGGACUGGGACACGGGCCAGAAUCCGUCGGGAGGCAGGAGUAGGGGAAUUUUGGCAAAGGGCGGAAGUCUGAACGAGGAACGCCGGGGAAGUGGAGAAGGGUUUCGGAUCGGAAAGGUCUGUUGUGAUAGAAGCGGUAACUAAACAAAAAGCGACGGCUAACUACGUGCCAGCAGCCGCGGUAAUAC
rnacentral:rRNA from 1 species